rnacentral:rRNA from 1 species
GCGAACGCUGGCGGCAGGCUUAACACAUGCAAGUCGAGCGCCUGUAGCAAUACAGGAGCGGCAGACGGGUGAGUAACGCGUGGGAACGUACCUUCUGGUUCGGAAUAACUCAGGGAAACUUGAGCUAAUACCGAAUAAGUCCUUCGGGAGAAAGAUUUAUCGCCGGAAGAUCGGCCCGCGUAAGAUUAGCUUGUUGGUGAGGUAACGGCUCACCAAGGCUACGAUCUUUAGCUGGUCUGAGAGGAUGAUCAGCCACAUUGGGACUGAGACACGGCCCAAACUCCUACGGGAGGCAGCAGUGGGGAAUAUUGGACAAUGGGCGCAAGCCUGAUCCAGCCAUGCCGCGUGAGUGAUGAAGGCCUUAGGGUUGUAAAGCUCUUUUAGCAGGGACGAUAAUGACGGUACCUGCAGAAAAAGCCCCGGCCAACUUCGU